rnacentral:rRNA from 1 species
GACGAACGCUGGCGGCGUGCUUAACACACGCAAGUCGAACGGAAAGGCCCUGCUUUUGUGGGGUGCUCGAGUGGCGAACGGGUGAGUAACACGUGAGUAACCUGCCCUUGACUUUGGGAUAACUUCAGGAAACUGGGGCUAAUACCGGAUAGGAGCUCCUGCUGCAUGGUGGGGGUUGGAAAGUUUCGGCGGUUGGGGAUGGACUCGCGGCUUAUCAGCUUGUUGGUGGGGUAGUGGCUUACCAAGGCUUUGACGGGUAGCCGGCCUGAGAGGGUGACCGGCCACAUUGGGACUGAGAUACGGCCCAGACUCCUACGGGAGGCAGCAGUGGGGAAUAUUGCACAAUGGGCGGAAGCCUGAUGCAGCAACGCCGCGUGCGGGAUGACGGCCUUCGGGUUGUAAACCGCUUUCGCCUGUGACGAAGCGUGAGUGACGGUAAUGGGUAAAGAAGCACUGGCCAACUACGUG